CCAAGAAAGGGAGGACUGUCUUUGCAGGAUAGAGGGAGUAGUUCAAAAUCUUCCAAACUCAUUGAUGAUUAUGCUCAUCCAUUUAGGCUGAGUUUUGACGUAAGGAAACUAACUACAUGGAUAGUGUCUAGUGUCGAGCAAUCCAUGCACAUGCUUUUAUGUUCCUUUUAUAAUGGAAAAAAUUUUCCAUACUUAUCAAUGAGAUCUCAUCCAUAAUUCUCUGGUUGUCUUCAAUGUUUAUUAACUCUCUCCUUAAUCGUUUAUUAGUGAAAAGAAGAUUUGUCUGGGUCUACGCAUCAGUUCAGUUCGCUCUAGUGGUUCUUUUUGCUCAUAUUUUCUACUCAUUGCUUCACGUGCAAGCCGUUCUAUCCAUUCUGCUUGCCACCUUUGGUGGUUUUGGUGUUACAAUGAGUGGCAAUUCUGUCAUUGUUGAGUUCUUGAGAUGCAGGGGAAGGCGGCGCACUAGGUCAGGUUUUCACCAUAGCUCUCAAGAAGUUUCACACCAACCAGAACCUGACCGCCGCCAAAAUGAAGCUGGAAAUUUAGAUAUUCCUCAAGGGAGCUGAAAUGGCAUUUAUUGCUCUGGUAGCAAAAUUCAAAUGGUUUACCUGUACAGAAGUUGGAAAAUAUAGAGUCCGAAAUUUCUAAUGUUAGUAUAAACAUAAGUUUUCAUGUAUCUGUCCAUUGAGUGCUUCUUAUUACCUAUUAGUCAUUAGAAAAACAGAAAUGGUUGUAGCAGUUUUGUAUGACAAGUUGAGAAUAGAAUGGAAUUGAGUUGCCAGAUUUCAUUGCCUGUA